AUUGAACGCCGGCGGCAUGCUUUACACACGCAAGUCGAACGGUAACAGGCCGCAAGGUGCUGACGAGUGGCGAACGGGUGAGUAAUGCAUCGGAACGUGCCCAGUCGUGGGUGAUAACGCAGCGAAAGCUGUGCUAAUACCGCAUACGAUCUAUGGAUGAAAGCGGGGGACCGAAAGGCCUCGCGCGAUUGGAGCUGCCGAUGUCAGAUUAGGUAGUUGGUGGGGUAAAGGCCUACCAAGCCAACGAUAUGUGGCUGGUCUGAGAGCACGACCAGCCACACUGGGACUGAGACACGGCCCAGACUCCUACGGGAGGCAGCAGUGGGGAAUUUUGGACAAUGGGGGCAAGCCUGAUCCAGCAAUGCCGAGUGCAGGAAGAAGGCCUUCGGGUUGUAAACUGCUUUUGUACGGAACGAAACGGUCUGGAUUAAUAACCUGGACUAAUGACGGUACCGUACGAAUAAGCACCGGCUAACUGCGUG
rnacentral:rRNA from 1 species